CCUACGGGAGUCUGCAGUGAGGAAUAUUGGUCAAUGGGCUUACGCCUGAACCAGCCAAGUCGCGUGAGGGAAGACUGCCCUAUGGGUUGUAAACCUCUUUUGUCAGGGAGCAACGCCGGCUACGUGUAGCCGGACUGAGAGUACCUGAAGAAAAAGCAUCGGCUAACUCCGUGCCAGCAGCCGCGGUAAUACGGAGGAUGCGAGCGUUAUCCGGAUUGAUUGGGUUUAAAGGGUGCGUAGGCGGAAUGCCAAGUCAGCGGUAAAAUCGCGGGGCUCAACCUCGCUCCGCCGUUGAAACUGGCGUUCUUGAGUGGGCGAGAAGUAGGCGGAAUGCGUGGUGUAGCGGUGAAAUGCAUAGAUAUCACGCAGAACUCCGAUUGCGAAGGCAGCAUACCGGCGCCCAACUGACGCUGAAGCACGAAAGCGUGGGUAUCGAACAGGAUUAGAUACCCUUGUAGUC
rnacentral:rRNA from 1 species